CAGUCGCCACGGUAAUACGAAGGGGGCUAGCGUUGUUCGGAAUUACUGGGCGUAAAGCGCACGUAGGCGGACAUUUAAGUCAGGGGUGAAAUCCCGGGGCUCAACCCCGGAACUGCCUUUGAUACUGGGUGUCUAGAGUAUGGAAGAGGUGAGUGGAAUUCCGAGUGUAGAGGUGAAAUUCGUAGAUAUUCGGAGGAACACCAGUGGCGAAGGCGGCUCACUGGUCCAUUACUGACGCUGAGGUGCGAAAGCGUGGGGAGCAAACAGGAUUAGAUACCCCCGUAGUCCCUGUCUCUUAUAC
rnacentral:rRNA from 1 species